rnacentral:lncRNA from 1 species
CUUAUGAUCAAACAUUUUAUUUCAAUCAUAAAAAGAAUUAGAAUACCUUCAGCUGCAAGCAGUGGCUAAAAACAGCUUAAGCAGUAAGGCUACUUAGUGACCUCGUAAAAUGAGCAGUCCAGGGGCAGGUGGUUCUGGGCACGCUUCCUGUAUCGGCUCCACUCUGUCCCGUGCACUCCAGGCUGGCCCAACCUUGGUGAAGUCACUGAGUUCCAAGAUGUGGUCCAAAAUGGCAGCAUAUUAAUUUUCAAUGAGAAAGAGAACUAUGAAGGAGUUCUCUCUGCCAGCCAGUCUGCCCAGGCAGCUAAAGCCUGUUCAGAAGGCAGCUUGGAGAGCGUGCCCACAAACUGAGCCAAUGCAGGACCCCCACCCGCAGGGACCAACCCACGGUGUGGACCACACACUUGUUUGUGUGGGCCAGGCAUCCAUUGCCCCCAUGAAAGACAAGAAGCACAAUGCUAGCAUCAAAUCUCUAGCCCUGUGCCUGGAGCCUCCAUGGCUGACCCACCUCCUCUUGAGGACUUCUCUGUUCUUUAUCAGUGAUGUUAAUACUGUCAGUCAGACUUGAGGCUGAGCUGGGUCCUGACUCUCCAGGAUGCAGCAGAAGGAAGGAAGGAAGAGAGGAGUGAAUGGAUGGGCACAGCCUUCUGCUCUGAGACCACCUGUUGGUUGUUUAGGCUCAAGAAACAGAAGCUUAAACAAAAAGGAUCCCAGGUCUCACACCCCAAGGCCAGGGAGGAGCAGACCAAGGGCACGUGGGGCUUCCGAGCAGCAACAGGGCCUGCAGACCUACCCUCUGCGCUUCCACUGUCACUCUGUGAAUUCCUGUCCUUGGGCUGCGUAACCAAGCCCUGCAGACUGGUGUCUCAACAACACAGAAGUGUCUUCUCCCACAAUCCUAGAGGCUAAACAUCGAAGAUUAAGAACGCUGCAGGGCCACGCUCCCUCUGAAGGCUCUAGGGGAGGAGACUUCCUCGCCUCCUCCAGCUUCUGGUGGUGCCAGCGGUCCUGGGGGCUCCUUGGCUUGUAGGCACAUCGCUCCAGUCCUGCCUCAGGGGCCUUCCUCCCUCUGUGUGUCUGUGCCUCGUGACACGAU